AAUGUGGAUUGUUAUUUUGAACUUUUGAGACAAGUAUGCUUUUGAAUUGACUUCCUAAGUUUUUUCUAUGCUUGACUCAAUAUAUAAUAAGAGACAAAAUAAACAUAUUAGUUCAUGAACUUCAGUCUAUCAAAUUAUGUUGAUUGUUCUCCCAAAAGCAUUUUAUGAUGGACUAGAAUGGUGCUUUAGUUGGUAUGUAUUUCUCUGUUAUUGGGAUUCAGGAAUGUGCUAUUUUUAGACUUACGAUUAAGAAGCAAUAUUGAAUACACAAAAGCAAAGUUCAAUGAGCUAUAAGUAUUCCCCAAAUUGUGGAAAUUGAUGCAAAGGCUGUCACAAUAUCCAACAAAAAAAAAAUUCUAGAAACACAACACUAAGUAAAAGAGAACUUCAUGCAUAAGCACGAAGAAGGUCACCAACAAGAGAGAAUCAUACUGUAGUAACUGUACUCACUUAGGAUUCAUGAGGCAGAGAAAGUUCAAAGUAGUAAUUAAACUGCUCCAACAUGGACACAGCAAUACAAAGAUACUAGCAGAAUCCUAUCAUAAUUCAUAUUCGAGCUAAACAGAUAACAACAUUAGAGUAGAAGAAAUGUAGUGUUGGAGUGACAAUUCUGGAGAGAUGCAAUCAGCCAAUCAUCAAGGACAAGGAUGAAUUGACUACAAAUUGAAGCAAAUCUCCCAAUUUGAUAAAAGUAAGUAAAACUAGGUGGAAACACCACACUAUAACUGUGAGUGAGGAAAAAAAAGGCAUCAGAAUUAUGGAUGAUAGAUAAAUUGACAAGAAGAUACCUCAAUAGUAGGGUUGCAUGCCGCCCUGGUACAUUCCACCAGGAGGAAAUCUAGGACCCGACGAUGGUUGGGGCAACUGCGUUGGAAAAGAAGAUGUUGACAACCCAUAGUUACCGCUCUCUGCGUAUCCCCCAGAAGGCAUCCCAAUAGAGCUUGGGGGCAACCUAUAUCCACCAUAUUCACCUGAACCAGACACACCAUAUUGUGAACCACCAUAACCACCACCUCCGCCCAAACCAGGUCCAUACC